rnacentral:rRNA from 1 species
AGUGAACGCUGGCGGUAGGCCUAACACAUGCAAGUCGAACGGCAGCACAGUAAGAGCUUGCUCUUAUGGGUGGCGAGUGGCGGACGGGUGAGGAAUACAUCGGAAUCUACUUUUUCGUGGGGGAUAACGUAGGGAAACUUACGCUAAUACCGCAUACGACCUACGGGUGAAAGCAGGGGAUCUUCGGACCUUGCGCGAUUGAAUGAGCCGAUGCCGGAUUAGCUAGUUGGCGGGGUAAAGGCCCACCAAGGCGACGAUCCGUAGCUGGUCUGAGAGGAUGAUCAGCCACACUGGAACUGAGACACGGUCCAGACUCCUACGGGAGGCAGCAGUGGGGAAUAUUGGACAAUGGGCGCAAGCCUGAUCCAGCCAUACCGCGUGGGUGAAGAAGGCCUUCGGGUUGUAAAGCCCUUUUGUUGGGAAAGAAAAGCAGCAGGUUAAUACCCCGCUGUUCUGACGGUACCCAAAGAAUAAGCACCGGCUAACUUCGUG